CCUAAGACAAUUCAUUCUUCUUCUUCACCAAAGAAAAGAGCAGCGCCGCUCUUUCUCUUCUCCUCCUUUCCCGCGAAGCCACUUUGGCGAGGCCAGCAGAGGCGGUGACGUCCCUCUCUUCCUCUCCCCUCUUUCCUCUUCUCCUUUCCUCCUCUGUUCCGUCGAUCUUCCCUUCCCCUCUCUCGCCUCUUGCAGCAGCCGCCCCAUCUCCGAUGGAGUUCCACUGGCGAAGAUGCCGCGAAGUCCAUCAGGUAGCAGCUCCAGCUGCUGUUCACCAGCUGAAGUCAAAUCCAGUUCUGUCCUCCUCUUUUGGUCUUUUUGAUAGUGAAUUUCGGCAUGCUCAUCGUGAGUCCAGCUCUUAGAAUGUAUCAGAUACCAGCACAGAUUCUAGAGAAAGGAGCCAAAUUUCAAGCCUGUCAGAUAGACUUCCGAUCUCAGGGAAUUUACAUUCUCAGAACUGAAAGCAGCAACGAAGAAUUUCAAUCGUACUACCAAGAUUGGGGAAGGUGGAUUUUGAUGUGUAUAUAAGGCCACAGUAAAGACUGGUGAGGAUUCAGCUAAAAAGAUUGACUUGGCUGUAAAACAACUUGGUAGGAGAGGAUUACAGGCUAACAUCAUCAAGAGGACUGGAACUACCGUAGUUGACACAAAUAAAAAGAAGUGGAAUUUUUAAGGAAAUUGAGGUCAAGUAUCGACUUCAACA